rnacentral:rRNA from 1 species
GAUGAACGCUGGCGGCGUGCCUAAUACAUGCAAGUCGAGCGAAUGGAUUAAGAGCUUGCUCUUAUGAAGUUAGCGGCGGACGGGUGAGUAACACGUGGGUAACCUGCCCAUAAGACUGGGAUAACUCCGGGAAACCGGGGCUAAUACCGGAUAACAUUUUGAACCGCAUGGUUCGAAAUUGAAAGGCGGCUUCGGCUGUCACUUAUGGAUGGACCCGCGUCGCAUUAGCUAGUUGGUGGGGUAACGGCUCACCAAGGCAACGAUGCGUAGCCGACCUGGGAGGGGGAUCGGCCACACUGGGACUGAGACACGGCCCAGACUCCUACGGGAGGCAGCAGUAGGGAAUCUUCCGCAAUGGACGAAAGUCUGACGGAGCAACGCCGCGUGAGUGAUGAAGGCUUUCGGGUCGUAAAACUCUGUUGUUAGGGAAGAACAAGUGCUAGUUGAAUAAGCUGGCACCUUGACGGUACCUAACCAGAAAGCCACGGCUAACUACGUGCCAGCCGCCGCGGUAA